UGGUCGGUUAGCUCAGUUGGUAAAGAGCUGCAGUGCUGAUAACGCCAAGGUCGCGGGUUCGAUUCCCGCACCGCCAU